GGAGGGUGCAAGCGUUAUCCGGAUUCACUGGGUUUAAAGGGUGCGUAGGUGGGUUGGUAAGUCAGUGGUGAAAUCUCCGGGCUUAACUCGGAAACUGCCGUUGAUACUAUCAAUCUUGAAUAUCGCGUAGGUAAGCGGAAUAUGUCAUGUAGCGGUGAAAUGCUUAGAUAUGACAUAGAACACCAAUUGCGAAGGCAGCUUACUUCACGAUCAUUGACACUGAGGCACGAAAGCGUGGGGAGCAAACAGGAUUAGAUACCCUGGUAGUCCACGCCCUAAACGAUGGAUACUCGACAUUAGCGAUACACAGUUAGUGUCUGAGCGAAAGCAUUAAGUAUCCCACCUGGGAAGUACGACCGCAAGGUUG
rnacentral:rRNA from 1 species